UACGGAGGGUGCAAGCGUUACUCGGAAUCACUGGGCGUAAAGAGCGUGUAGGCGGGAUAGCAAGUCUGAUGUGAAAGCCCGGGGCUCAACCCCGGGACUGCAUUGGAAACUGUCGCGCUCGAGUGUCGGAGAGGUAAGUGGAAUUCCUAGUGUAGCGGUGAAAUGCGUAGAUAUUAGGAGGAACACCAGUGGCGAAGGCGGCUUACUGGACGACAACUGACGCUGAGGCUCGAAAGCGUGGGGAGCAAACAGG
rnacentral:rRNA from 1 species